rnacentral:rRNA from 1 species
GAUGAACGCUAGCUACAGGCUUAACACAUGCAAGUCGAGGGGUAACGAGAGGAAAGCUUGCUUUCCUUGUCGACGACCGGCGCACGGGUGAGUAACGCGUAUCCAACCUGCCCCCAACUAGGGAAUAACCUUGCGAAAGUAAGACUAAUACCCUAUAAUUUCCUCAGAUGUCAUCUGACGAGGAAUAAAGAUUUAUCGGUUGUGGAUGGGGAUGCGUCUGAUUAGCUUGUUGGCGGGGUAACGGCCCACCAAGGCAACGAUCAGUAGGGGUUCUAGGAGGAAGGUCCCCCACAUUGGAACUGAGACACGGUCCAAACUCCUACGGGAGGCAGCAGUGAGGAAUAUUGGUCGAUGGGCGGAAGCCUGAACCAGACAAGUAGCGGGCAGGAUGACGGCCCUAUGGGUUGUAAACUGCUUUUAUACAGGAAUAAAGUUAGCCACGUGUGGUUAUUUGUAGGUACUGUAUGAAUAAGGACCGGCUGAUUCCGUGCCAGCCGCCGCAGCAA